CCUAUGGGAUGCAGCAGUGGGGAAUAUUGGACAAUGGGCGAAAGCCUGAUCCAGCAAUGCCGCGUGUGUGAAGAAGGUCUUCGGAUUGUAAAGCACUUUCGACGGGGACGAUGAUGACGGUACCCGUAGAAGAAGCCCCGGCUAACUUCGUGCCAGCAGCCGCGGUAAUACGAAGGGGGCUAGCGUUGCUCGGAAUGACUGGGCGUAAAGGGCGCGUAGGCGGAUGACACAGUCAGAUGUGAAAUUCCCGGGCUUAACCUGGGGGCUGCAUUUGAUACGUGUUGUCUAGAGUGAGGAAGAGGGUUGUGGAAUUCCCAGUGUAGAGGUGAAAUUCGUAGAUAUUGGGAAGAACACCGGUGGCGAAGGCGGCAACCUGGUCCUUGACUGACGCUGAGGCGCGAAAGCGUGGGGAGCAAACAGGAUUAGAUACCCGAGUAGUCC
rnacentral:rRNA from 1 species